AUUUGGUGGUGGGGGCAGCUAGCACACAACCUCUUAAAUCUCUCCCAGUACUAAUAUAAUGACUCCCCACUCUAUUGGCAAAUGCCAUAGAUUUCAUUCCUUAUACU